GGGGCCGUCGGCUAGCCAGGUCUAGGCUGCGAGGCUUGGGCCCUCGCGACCCCGGUUCAAAUCCGGGCGGCCCCACCA
rnacentral:tRNA from 1 species